UAGGUUGAAUUUGGCACACAUAUUUUCAUCUUAUCAACAAGGAAUGACACAUGUAGAAUCUAAUAUAGUAAAAUGAUAAGAAGGAACUAGGAAGAUUGAGAAACACCUCAUAGGUGGACGUGUUGUCUUGCGCCUCUGUGUAGGUGCAGUCUGCAAUGUGUGGAUUUGGUCGCCAGCAUGGCGCAUUAUGCGCCUACGGCCAGCUACAUAAACAGAAAAGAUCUCAUUUUUAACAUCGAUAGAAAAGAUCAAAGAGAAAGGGAUGCUUCACUUGUGGGGAAAUGGUCACAUCAGGGAUAAUUGCCCAAACAAAACCGUACCCAAGAAGAGGAGUAGCAAAGGCACACCAGACCUAGUUCGGGAUCUGAUUGUCACCUUUCCUUAAACUGAUGUGCACCGGACCGAGUUCGUGCACCACCAGACCGGUUGGUGACGUCAGCUAGCCAUUGCGCGCGGGGGGAGGGUGUCACACCCGGGUUUUAGGGGUCCAAAGCCUGGGCGUAAACAUAAUCACCAGGUGUGCUGGGACCAAGUCUCACACAUAUGAUGAAUCAUGGCACAGGAUCGAAUGUCACAUCUUUACUACAUAACAGGAGUUCUAUACAAAAUAAAUAAAUAAUUACAUUAUAAGGAGACAACGGUCCAACAACCCAAAGUUGACUGGGAGACGACGACCUAGACCUCUCACGAACUCAUCGCAGCAUCCUCCACGCGCCUCAUCCUGUGGUACCUGUUCUUGACCUGUGGGGGGGUGUGAGACAGCAAGAGUGAGCUCACAUACGUUCAUCGCUCAACAAGUUGUGGGGAAUAAUGUGCAUGAACUCGCCAAAGGUGGGAGCUCACGUGAAGUGUAAGGCUUACCAAAGAGGAUGGUUGAAGCUGAGCAUUGCUUUUAAAGUUGGUCAAAAUUUUAUUAGCAAUUACUAAGUAUAAGUAAAUACCAACCCAAUUAAGUAGUAGAACAAAAGUAACAACAUCACCUGCGAUGCAAUGCAUAUUACAAAUUGAAUUUAAGUUCCAUAAAUUAAUCAUGUGAGGGUCCGAGCUGCUCAUGACCGUGAGCACGGCUAGUAUACCAGUUUUACACUCUGCAGAGGUGGCGCAUCUUUACCCACAAGUCAUGUUACCCAUCUGCCAAGGGAUCGCGACUUCCCGUACACCUCUACCGAGGAGGCGAGGCAGGGUAACACUACGAGGCCUUUACAAAGUUCCACUAGCUUCAGAAAACCCGCUACAGUUUAUAGGAAGCUCCAAUGCAAGAAUUCCCUUGCAGGACCGCCAUCGCAGCAAAAUCCUCCCGAGGGUCUCCCUACACUGACCACUCCCCUACUGCCCUUGCCCCUUUCGGGUAAGGUAGUCCUCCACUAGCUUUCCUAAUUAAUCAGCCAAGGGCGUCCCAUUAUACCCUUGUGGUAGCACUGUUUUCCCGGGUGGUCGCUCCAUGUUCCAAUUAACAUAAUGAUCUUAUCAUGAACGAUAAAUAACAACAGAUAACAAAAGUAUAAUCAUGAGUAAUGUAUCUUCAUACCCAAAUCCACAUAAAGCACUAGCAAGUACUACCCAAAAAGUUCAGUGGUAACAAGGUAUAAAGAUAAUCAAACUAGGGUAACCUAUUGGGUCCCAUCAAAAUUAACCUAUGCAGAUCAUUAUGAUUAAUCAGAACAUGAGUGGGUAAAAAGAAGUGAUCAAGGGCACAACUUGCCUGGGACUCGAGAUUCCAGGUACCAGGAUGAUCUUCAGAUGACUCGUAACCUCGCUCUAGUUGUAGCAAUACAAAUAAACAGUGUAUAUGCAAAAUUAACAUUACACCAAACAUAUAUGCAAAAUACAUAUUAAUAAUCUACCUAUUGAAAUAAAAUUCUAGGAACAGGAAUCACAAUUUUUGGAGUUAUAGAUUUUAAGUUAUGAAUUUCUUAAGAUUUUAUGUAUUUUGUACAAGAUUAAAUAGAGUACAAAUUUUAAUGUGUAUUUCAUGUGAAAUAGUGGUACUAGAUGAUAAACCAUAAUAUUACAAAAUUAUAGGAACUGGAACGAGUCAAAAAGGAGUUAAAAUGUAUUUUCUAGGAAUUAAAGAAGUUUCUGGGAUUAAUUUUGCACUAUUAAUCAUUUUCUAAAUGAAUUUCCAUAGUUUAUUCCCUGACUGGACUGCGCACCAAAAACUAGAAAGUGCAGGGGCUAAUCUAUAAAUCUUCAGCAGACCCAGACCUACCCCGCGGUGGACGGCGGGUUGUUUUUGAAAUAAGUCAGGGUCUCUUUAGCAAGAUUACCAGGCCGAAGGGGUAUCUCCCGAUCUUAGUCAUUGGAUUACACCGACGGUCAGGAUCAGAUCCCGCCUAUUAUGAACCAGCGAGCGUGCAAAACCGUCCGAUCACAAUCCAGCGUCCCAAAUCCGCAGUGGCGAAAGGGGUAUGCGCGAUCUAAUCAUUGCCGUCGACGAUUGAUCUAACGACACACAGAGCUUGCCCCCAAACCGGUACCCGCCUUCAAUCCCAGCCGUUGAAGUUGGGAUCAACGGCCAGCGCACCACUUUUACCCUCCCUUCCAAGACCGGCGGCCGUGUACAGGGCCACGAGCGCGGCGGCGCCAUGGAUGAGGCCACACAUCCAAUGACCCCGAUGCGCUAAACUCCGUUCCAAAGGAUGCUAAACAUAGCGGCGAACCAGGCGAGCAUGAUAGAGUGGACUCACCGAUGGAUUGCGUAGUGCUUUUCUCUGUCUUCGUUGCACGGCGGAGAUCCGGCGGAGCGAUACGACGGCGAGGAAUUGGAGCAAAACCGGCAGUUGAUCACGAGUAGCGCGGCCCCACACGUCCUUCCCAGAACUUGAGGAAAGUCCCCGAGCACUUCACGGGGCAGACGACUGCGCGGCAGGGGAUUUCCCCCCCACGGCGGAGCACAACCCCUCUCCUCUCGGUUCCCUCCCAUGACGCCGGUGGCAGUGGCCAAGUAGUUCUCGUGAUUGAGGGCUAAAGGUCAGCGAUCUGCGCAGGGAUUUAUUCCCCCUCGGGCGGAAGCCGGUUAUCCAGCUCCGAGCAGGUCAGGCGCCCGAGGAUUCCGUGCGCGCGCAGGAGAAAUCGCUAUUUCUGUUGAGGAAGAUGGAG
rnacentral:lncRNA from 1 species